rnacentral:rRNA from 1 species
UACGGAGGGUGCAAGCGUUAUCCGGAAUCACUGGGCGUAAAGGGCGCGUAGGCGGUCUGUUAAGUCUGGCGUUAAAGCCUGGGGCUCAACCCCAGAUCAGCGUUGGAUACUGGCAGGCUAGACGGUUGGAGAGGCGAGUGGAAUUACCAGUGUAGCGGUGGAAUGCGUAGAUAUCUGGAGGAACACCAGUGGCGAAGGCGACUCUUUGGUCUAUUACUGACGCUGAGGUACGAAAGCAUGGGUAGCAAACAGGAUUAGAUACCCCCGUA